rnacentral:lncRNA from 1 species
CCUUUCCCAGAAAAUUCAUGAAUUGCAGAAAUUAAUCCACCUUGCCCCAAAUCACACCUUCCAUAAGUGAGACUCACCACAGCAGCCUGCAGAGGCGCAGAUUGUCUCUUGUUUGUCCGAUAAUAAAAUCACUGUAAAGUUACUAUCAUGUAGGGAAGUUUGCUAAAGGCACAAGGAUAGUCCAAUGCACGGGCAAAAGAUAUUGGAAACUAGAAAUAGAUUUAAGAAAUAUCAACAACCAAGGCGAUAUUUCGAUUUAGAGAGAAAAGAAUUGCUUUAAUAAUAAAUGGUGCUGGCAUAAUUAGCUCUUCAUCAGGAAGAAAAAAGUAGCUAAACUUCCACCUCACAUCGUACACAGAAAUAAAUUCCAAAGGAUUCAAGACUUAAAUACUAGAAAUAAACUACAAGUAAUACAUGUUUGUUUUUAACUAAGAGAACAUCUGUCAAAUCUUAUGGUAUGGAAGAUCUUUCUAAGCCAGAUAGAAAAGACCAGUCAUAUUU